ACUUUUCACUGAUCCAAAGGAGGUCACGUGGGAUUGCUCGACGCUUGCGAAAUCAACAAUGAAAAUGGCGAAACGAAACUUGUGAAUCGUGCAUUUGCUCUUCAUGGUAGCUGCCAAAAAAUCGAAUCAAACUUAUGGGACACUGGAUUACAGGUUGCUGCCACUACUCCAUGUGCCCGCAAUUGUCUUGCGUGUAUGAUUACACUAACGGCGUCGCCCACCACGGCGGAAGUGUUUUGCGUACACGCGUUUCAGCAUGAAGCCUGCAGGUGGACAUAAAUUGUAGAAGGCAGCUAGUGGGGGAGAAGAUCAUGGUCAUGGUCAUGUGACUCCUGGAGCUCCCAGUGGGCUCCCUUGUGGACAAUGCUCACUUUGCUGAACACACACACACACACAGUUUGCUCACAGAACCAACGAGUAGGAUGUUGCUUGAAUACUGAGAGAAAAUGGCGUAACACAUACAAAUAUCGUGUG